rnacentral:rRNA from 1 species
UACGUAGGCAGCGAGCGUUGUUCGGAAUUACUGGGCGUAAAGAGUGUGUAGGCGGUGCUCUAAGUUCGGUGUGAAAUCUCCUGCUUAACUGGGAGGGUGCGCCGGAAACUGGAGUGCUUGAGCGUGGGAGAGGAAAGCGGAAUUCCUGGUGUAGCGGUGGAAUGCGCAGAUAUCAGGAAGAACACCCGUGGCGAAGGCGGCUCUCUGGAACGCAACUGGACGCUGAAGACGCGAAAGCCGUGGGGAGCAAACAGG